AUGGCGUGCUCUCCCUCUCCCCGGCUGCUCCACCGGGCGUCCUCCUCUUCUCCGUUGCUCUCGGUCGGGCAUGUGCGCUCGGCUCCGUCCUCCACGUUCGGAUGGACCAUCCAAUGCAAGCAAUCCGGACAUAUAUUGUAUGGAAGAAGCCAUGUGACAAGCUUCCUGGCUCUUGCUAGUGCAGAUGCACCACAAGGCAAAGGAAGUUCAGGUCAGAAAGUGAUAAUGGUUGAUCCACAGGAAGCUAAGCGCUUAGCAGUGAAACAAAUGCAAGAAAUUCGUGCCAGAGAUAAGCUGAAGAAACGUCAUCAAGCAGAAGCUAUUAACGGCGCAUUGGCGGUGAUAGGAUUGACUGCUGCAUUGGUAUUGGAAGGUCAGACAGGAAAGGGUAUCUUGGGGCAGCUAGCAGGAUAUCUGGCGGCUUUAUCUAGUUUAUUUGGGCAAUAA
rnacentral:rRNA from 1 species